rnacentral:snoRNA from 1 species
CAAUGUCAUGAGUUCAGUUCAGGGCAGUGUCCCUGGUCUGUUAAUUAAACCCUGAGACAUUGAGCUGGCUGGGGUAGAUGACUGCAUCAAAAUAUUCCUCAAUUCAUUUACCUCCCGGCUUACAAAA